rnacentral:rRNA from 1 species
AGUGAACGCUGGCGGUAGGCCUAACACAUGCAAGUCGAACGGCAGCACAGUAAGAGCUUGCUCUUACGGGUGGCGAGUGGCGGACGGGUGAGGAAUACAUCGGAAUCUACUUUUUCGUGGGGGAUAACGUAGGGAAACUUACGCUAAUACCGCAUACGACCUACGGGUGAAAGCAGGGGAUCUUCGGACCUUGCGCGAUUGAAUGAGCCGAUGUCGGAUUAGCUAGUUGGCGGGGUAAAGGCCCACCAAGGCGACGAUCCGUAGCUGGUCUGAGAGGAUGAUCAGCCACACUGGAACUGAGACACGGUCCAGACCCCUACGGGAGGCAGCAGUGGGAAAUAUUGGACAAUGGGCGCAAGCCUGAUCCAGCCAUACCGCGUGGGUGAAGAAGGCCUUCGGGUUGUAAAGCCCUUUUGUUGGGAAAGAAAAGCAGCAGGUUAAUACCCCGCUGUUCUGACGGUACCCAAAGAAUAAGCACCGGCUAACUUCGU